AGCAGCCGCGGUAAUUCCAGCUCCAAUAGCGUAUAUUAAAGUUGUUGCAGUUAAAAAGCUCGUAGUUGAAUUUCGGGGUUCUACCGUUGGUCGGGCUUUGUCUGUACUGGCGUGUAGAAUUUCUACCUUCUGGGGAACCAUCAUGUUAUUAAUUUAACGUGGUGGGAAACCAGGACCUUUACCUUGAAAAAAUUAGAGUGUUCAAAGCAGGCUUAUGUCUGAAUACAUUAGCAUGGAAUAAUAAAAUAGGACGGUGGUCCUGUUUUGUUGGUUUCUGAAUCACCGUAAUGAUUAAUAGGGAUAGUUGGGGGCAUUAGCAUUCAAUUGUCAGAGGUGAAAUUCUUGGAUUUAU
rnacentral:rRNA from 1 species